GUGCUCGCUUUGGCCGCACCUACACUAAAAUUGGGAUGAUACACAGAAGGCUGGCGUAGCCAUUGCACAAGGACAACACACAAAGGUGUGCAGCAUUCCAUUUUAUU
ensembl:snRNA U6 U6 spliceosomal RNA